rnacentral:rRNA from 1 species
UACGGAGGAUGCGAGCGUUAUCCGGAUUUAUUGGGUUUAAAGGGUGCGCAGGCGGUCUGUUAAGUCAGCGGUCAAAGCCCGGGGCUCAACCCCGGGACUGCAUUGGAAACUGUCGCGCUCGAGUGUCGGAGAGGUAAGCGGAAUUCCUGGUGUAGCGGUGAAAUGCGUAGAUAUCAGGAGGAACACCGGCGGCGAAGGCGGCUUACUGGACUGUAACUGACGUUGAGGCUCGAAGGCGUGGGGAGCAAACAGG